AGAUGUAUUUGUGAUAACAUAAAAUAUAAUUGCAUUUAUUUCUAUUGUCAAUCAAGGUGAGACUGAACAUGAACAAGGCACAGGAGAAACAGAAUGAGAGCCACCGGAGGAGAAUCAAGACCAGGUGCUUUGAACAUCCGGGCUAAUAACUUGGAAGAAGGACGAAUAGAAGACGAGACCUGGGAAACCUUGGUGCUCUUUCUCUCCUAGCUGGGGUCACCAUCCAUUAAGGGACCAUCCCUUACCUCCCUCAUCACCUCCCUCAUCACCUCCCUCAUCAAACCCACUGACAGGACCUAGUGGUUCUGCCCAACACCCAGAUGUGGAUCCACCUGAUGUCCUCCAUUACCUGUUCUCCAGGAACUAGGGGUUCGGCCCAACACCCAGACCCACCUGAUGUCCUCCAUUUCCUGUUCUCCAUGACCUAGGGGUUCUGCCCAACACCCAGAACCACCUGAUGUCCUCCAUUUCCUGUUCUCCAGGACCUAGUGGUUCAUUUAGCCUAUUUGGUAACAAAUUUGACGUGUGGAAAAGUCAAGAUUCCUAGACAGGCUAUUGUUUGUCAAUGUUACGUUCCCCAUUUCUGUGUUAGGUGUGUGCUUCAGGAUGGCUUCCUGAAAUCCCCUCAAGCAGCUGAUUACCAAUGCCUUCUGAAGCUAUAAUAAAGCCAGUGUUCUGUUCAAGAGGGAUAUCAAUUGCUGAGAGAAAGAUUGAUUGUGAUAUAGAGAGAUGAUUGCUGAGAGAGGAGGCUGAUGGCUGUGGGUUAUUUACUGUGUUAGUUGUUGCUGAGAACAGCUUUGGUAUGUUCUGUGUUAGUUUGUUGCUCUGUCAGAUAGAGCUUAUUUGAAGUAAUUUGUUUCUCAGUAUGUUUGAAAUUGUUUAAUAUUCUGUUUCAUUUGUUCCCAGGGGGGAAGGAGAAGGCACCUAGGAAGUCCUUAGGCAAGAGGCCCGCGGGCAUACAUAACCCGUAGUAUAUUCACUGUCUA